CUGUGUUUCCUUGGGCCCUGGUUUGCUUUGAUAUUUUUAGAGGGCGUGAAAACUAGCGCUGAGUUCAGGAGUGUGUGAACAGGUUGCUGCAGCUGAAUGAGCCGCCACCCAGUUAAUCCUCAAGUGAUUAUGAAUGAAGCUGACAAGAUUCUCACACAUCCAGUGGCGUUAUCCACACUUUUCCACUGCGCCAGCAAAACUAGCGCCGACAUGUCGCUUCCCCUCACACAGUCAAUGGAGUUUCAUGACUUUGUAGGUUCAUUUAUCGUACACACUUAAGCACUAUUUGAUUUUCUAUGGUUAUAUCUGGAGGACACCCAGCUUUACUUAAACGGACAAUAUUAAACUGGCAAUAAACACAACCAAAUUAACAAUGACAAGUCAUUUCUGAUCUACAAAUGGCUUUCAUUGUGGAUCCAAUGCGCUGCCAUGUUGGACGUCCCUGGUGGGGGAAAGAAACAUCAGCAGUGAACACCAUGCAAAUGAAGAUGCAGCAACAGGAAGAGGAUGAGAUAAAAAAAAAGAGUGACACAGCCACAGAUACUGAACAGAGUGAAUACUUACAGGCAAACUUUGCCCAGCCAGUGCUGUAAGGUGCAGAGCAGGAGAAGGCAGCAGAGAAAAAGAAGAUGGGAAACAAGGCGAGAGGGAGGUGUGAGGGGCUGCACAGGGCCAGGGAAGCAACAGAAGGGGGCAGCUCUUGAAUCGGAGCCUCGUCCAGGUCAUCGAUG